UACGUAGGGGGGCUAGCGUUGUCCGGAAUCAUUGGGCGUAAAGAGCGCGUAGGCGGCCAGAUAAGUCCGGUGUGAAAGUCACAGGCUCAACCUGUGAAUGCCGCUGGAAACUGUCUGGCUAGAGUCCGGGGAGGGGCGAGUGGAAUUCCUGGUGUAGCGGUGAAAUGCGCAGAUAUCAGGAGGAACACCAAUGGCGAAGGCAGCUCGCUGGAACGGUACUGACGCUGGAGGCGCGAAAGCGUGGGGAGCAAACAGG
rnacentral:rRNA from 1 species